UACGUAGGGAGCAAGCGUUGUCCGGAAUCAUUGGGCGUAAAGCGCGUGUAGGCGGCUUGAUAAGUCUGCUCUGAAAGCCCGGGGCUCAACCCUGGGAGGCGGGUGGAUACUGUCGAGCUCGAGUCCGGAAGAGGCGAGUGGAAUUCCUGGUGUAGCGGUGAAAUGCGCAGAUAUCGGGAAGAACACCCGUGGCGAAGGCGGCUCUCUGGAACGCAACUGACGCUGAGACGCGAAAGCGUGGGGAGCAAACAGG
rnacentral:rRNA from 1 species